UGGGGACUGGGCCUGUAUCCUCAAAGCUUCUCAGAGCAGCAGUGCUGAUCUAGGAUCAGUUUAGCCACCAGGACUGGGGGACUGGGCCUGUAUCCUCAAAGCUUCUCAGAGCAGCAGUGCUGAUCUAGGAUCAGUUUAGCCACCAGGACUGGGGGACUGGGCCUGUAUCCUCAAAGCUUUCAGAGCAGCAGUGCUGAUCUAGGAUCAGUUUAGCCACCAGGACUGGGGGACUGGGCCUGUAUCCACAAAGCUUCUCAGAGCAGCAGUGCUGAUCUAGGAUCAGUUUAGCCACCAGGACUGGGGGACUGGGCCUGUAUCCUCAAAGCUUCUCAGAGCAGCAGUGCUGAUCUAGGAUCAGUUUAGCCACCAGGACUGGGGGACUGGGCCUGUUUCCUCAAAGCUUCUCAGAGCAGCAGUGCUGAUCUAGGAUCAGUUUAGCCACCAGGACUGGGGGCCUGGGUAUCCACAAAGCUUCUCAGAGCAGCAGUGCUGAUCUAGGAUCAGUUUAACCACCAGGACUGGGGGACUGGGCCUGUAUCCUCAAAGCUUCUCAGAGCAGCAGUGCUGAUCUAGGAUCAGUUUAGCCACCAGGACUGGGGGACUGGGCCUGUAUCCUCAAAGCUUCUCAGAGCAGCAGUGCUGAUCUGGGAUCAGUUUAGCCACCAGGACUGGGGGACUGGGCCUGUAUCCACAAAGCUUCUCAGAGCAGCAGUGCUGAUCCAGGAUCAGUUUAGCCACUAGGACUGGGGGACUGGGCCUGUUUCCACAAAGCUUCUCAGAGCAGCAGUACUGAUCUGGGAUCAGUUUAGCCACCAGGACUGGGGGACUCGGCCUGUAUCCUCAAAGCUUCUCAGAGUAGAUCUAGUAUGGAGUGAUUCAUAAUGUAGGAUCAGUUUUGCCUUUUAGCUCAUAAUGAAUCAAAUUAUAUGGACAGGUUGGAACCUAAUCCUGGAUCAGCACUCCAACUCAGAUGCUGUGGAUACAGAGACAGAUCCCACUACAGUAGGCUACUAAAUUACUGUUGUAGUGUAGAGAGAGAGAGAGAGGAGAGAGACCUCAGGGUGUCUGGGUCUAUAGAGGGGUAGAGGAGGAGACCUCAGGGUGUCUGGGUCUAUAGAGGGGUACAGGAGGAGACCUCAGGGUGUCUGGGUCUAUAGAGGGGUACAGGAGGAGACCUCAGGGUGUCUGGGUCUAUAGAGGGGUAGAGGAGGAGACCUCAGGGUGUCUGGGUCUAUAGAGGGGUAGAGGGAGAGACCUCAGGGUGUCUGGGUCUAUAGAGGGGGAGGAGGAGACCUCAGGGUGUCUGGGUCUAUAGAGGGGUAGAGGAGGAGACCUCAGGGUGUCUGGGUCUAUAGAGGGGUACAGGAGGAGACCUCAGGGUGUCUGGGUCUAUAGAGGGGUACAGGAGGAGACCUCAGGGUGUCUGGGUCUAUAGAGGGGUACAGGAGGAGACCUCAGGGUGUCUGGGUCUAUAGAGGGGUAGAGGAGGAGACCUCAGGGUGUCUGGGUCUAUAGAGGGGUAGAGGAGGAGACCUCAGGGUGUCUGGGUCUAUAGAGGGGUACAGGAGGAGACCUCAGGGUGUCUGGGUCUAUAGAGGGGUACAGGAGGAGACCUCCUUUCUCUACCCAAAAUCUGAGAAAAGGGGCUGACCUCAACACUAUAGGCAGCUGUGGUCGCCGGCCCACCACGACCAAACCACACUGACUAAACAGUGUCCCCUCUGACAAGCUCUGCCCCUCUCUCUGCCAGUCUGUCACUCUCUCUGCUUGUCUGUCUGCCCUUCUCUCUGCCCAUCUGUCCCUCUCUCUGCCUGUCUGGAAGCCAGUAAGUAAAGCGCACAUUUCCUGCCCAUGACAUUCGGAACGAGGAACAGGAAGUGCACUGAAGCCUCUUCUUCUCAUUCUUAGAGGAUCCCUGUAGGAUUUGGGGCCGACAUCAGGCCAGCUUGGACACGGGUUAAGUCACAUACUGUAUCUGCUUCAGGUUCUGAUUCAGGGUAUAGUGACAGUUUACUCAUUGUGCUUUAUUCUGGGAUUCUGACAUCAUAAUUGGAUGUAGCCCUUUGUAGAACAUUCCAACUGAUGACAUCACAACCAGAUGAAGUGAUCCUUUGUUAAAACAUUCUGGUUGCGUCUCUCUGCUCAGAUGUCACAUGCAUCAACCACUGGUUGCACCAGAUUGCUUUAGCAUGUGAUGUGUUUAGCUGAUCUGUAAAAUACCUAUCCAGGCGAUGUAAGAUCUGGCGUCAGCAACGUCUGAACAGAGGAACACACCCUCUAACUGAUGACAUCACAAUGUGGUGAUGACGCAGUCCUUUGAACAUUCUAACUGAUGACGUCAUAGUGACAUGACGCAAGCCUAAUUGAUGACAUCACAAUAGGCUAAAUAUGGUCCUAUAAGAGGGGUCCUUUUAAACGGGCUCCCAGACUCCGUACCAUAGCAUUACAAUGAAUAGAGAACCUCUAUCCCAAUUCAAAGAUAAUCCUGUGGGUUUUACAGCUACUGGUCUGUUCUACACGAAUUCUAAUCCUGUCCUCUUCAAUUUAACCCCUGGGGUACCUCCUCUCCUCACUUCCCUGAAUGAGACAUCUCCAUGGCGACACCAGUGUUAGCUAACCCUCAUUAUGGGAUAUAGUGUAGUUCCCAUAUCACACGGCACCAAACGGGUCAUAUUACAGUAAUCUGGGAAUAGUGGAGCAGACAGAUUAGAUUAAGCUCAUUAACAUCGCACGCACACACACACAAUGUGGAGACCAGGAGUUACACACACCACUCUCUGAACAGAGAGAAAGAGAGAGAGCCAUUGAAGGACUUUAAAGACUACAGUGAAGGCGGCAGGGUUUUGGUAAUAAUCUGUAGUGUUUUUGUUUUCAAGUGCAAAUAAGCCUUUCUCUGUCCUGCCCUGCAUUCUGUCUUCAUGUCACUAUCAAUCUCACAGGAUCCCAUUCUGCCAUGUAUCUCAAUGGUGCCCUAUUCCCUAUAUUAGUCCCUACGGGCCCUGGUCUAAAGUAGUGCACUAUAUAGGGAAUAGGGUGCCAUUUGGGAGGCAGGCCUGUUGUAUUCAAACGGGUUCUUCUUCCUGACUGAUGGAAUGAAUGACAAUACAGAGUAAAAGAAGAGCAUUAGUGGAGGAGGCAGAGAGAGAGAGAGAGAGGGGGAGGAGGAGAGAGAGAGAGAGAGAGAGGGAGAGAG
ensembl:lncRNA